GUUGUUUGGAAUGAAGUUUGAUCCAAGAUCCCGUAUUGGGAUUCGUUGGGAUCUCGGACCAGGCUUCAUUCUUGACAAU
rnacentral:pre_miRNA from 11 species